rnacentral:lncRNA from 1 species
UCCUAUAUAAAAAAAAAGUGAAAUAAACCCAUGGCGUUCCGGUAAGCAACUGAAAAUUACCUUAAUUAGAAGAAAAAGUAUAGCUGCAAAAACAAGAUAAUUCUAUGAUCGAUUGACCUUCAAGAGUAAAAUUCAGAAAAUCGAUAUUUAAAAGUUAUAAAUACUGUUUAGUCUUUAAAAUUUAAUGCGCUCACUAAAAUUCUUUUUUAGUUCACAAAAUUCAGUGAUUUCAUUAGAUAAGGAAACAAUAACAAUAUUCCAAGCACUUUCACGUUGAUAUUAUACAAAUUAUUUUGUGAACUUAAAGAGCAUUUGUGUAAUAUGAUUAUGUAUAAAUUUGAUCAUCUGUGCUCGUAAACCAAUAAAAGUGAAAUCUAUUUUAUCGGUAUACAUAAUUCAGUAAUGAAUAAUAAUAUAUUUACUACAGUUAGUCCACCAUCAUUAUAGGACAAAAAAAAAAUUAUUAUAAGACAAUUUUUUUUUUUUCCCGGUUGGGUCAUGUUACGCUAAUUAGUAUAUACAGUUACAUGCAAUAGCAAUCGCACGGGUAAAAUGAUAGUAGUACAUGUAAGCUGUAGCUAUCCAUGUGAAAGCAGGAGAAAAUAAAGGAAGAGAGUUCACCUGUAGCUGAUGGGGAGGAUGAGGUUGAGCCCAUGAAGGCGGCGGCCAUGGUGAAUGUAGAGGACGUGGUUGAGCCCAUGAAGGCGAUCGUGGCGGCGAUGAUGAGUAGCUAGGCGAUCGCAGCAGCAAGGAUGAGUGGCUAGGUGAUAGCGGCGGCGAUGUUGAGCCCAACUCUGCUUCUGUGGUAAGCAGAUGUGUCCGAUGUGAUCGGUCUCUCUGCACAGGUUAAUUCAUAAUUCUUCUUUUUUUAAUUAGUAGUUCUUGUUAAUUGUCUCAUUUAUUAAUUAUUCACAGCGAAUUACUAAGUUAGAAAGUAAAGAUUAUUUGUCUAAUUUAUUUAAACUAAGGAAAGAGAUUUCACAUUUGUCUUAUAUAUUUACUAAUUAAUUAAUUAGAACUUGAACAGCAUUUGAGAACAAUAAGUGAGCCGAGCACAGUUUUUUUGGGACAAUUAAUAGAAAAGCAAAGAAAAUAAUUUUCAUUUAAUUAAGUGAAAUUAUUUCCUCUCAAAAGCAGAAGUAAUUUUUUUGGAGUAACAGUGUAAUUAAUAAUGCUCAAUCAAAAUUUUAUCAACUAAAUCCCAACAAAAAUCUAAAGUAGCAACAGUUUCCAUGAAUAAUAUAGAAGCAAGAAAGCAAACUCAUGGCACUAAAUAGAGUUUCCUUGCCCAAAAAAAAAAAGGAAUAAAAAUCAAUUACCCUUCAUGAAAAUUUUAAUAAACAAAAGUAAUCAAGGGAAAGAUUAGAACUAGUACCAAUUGCGAAUUGGGUGGGCUGCUCGAAAGAGUUACAGAAUCUUGAUUCUGCAACGGAGGUGUACCAUAUUCUAUACCAGCUGAGGAUAAGAUCUCAAGGAUCUGCGGAAGCUUUUCCAGUUUUGAGCAGCCUGUAAGAUCAAUUUUUUUAAGAAAUCCUGAAUGAAUUUUAGCUGGAAAACUUUUCAGGUUUAUUAUCUCUUCAUCAUCUCCCCGAAAAUAGAUCUUAGUUUUCUGUUGGGACAAUCAAGUAAGGCCAAGACAAAUCAUUAAUUAGCAUGUACAUGUAUAUGAGAAAUAAUUAAUUAAACAUUUAUUACUGAAACAUGAUUAGACAAAUAUAUAAUAUUAUGAUACCUGAACGCCAUUCGAAAGUUGUAUAGUGUUGCUUUCAGUCAUUUUACGAACUUCAUCAAAAGAAGAAGAAUUCACGACAAGUUCACAGGAUGAAAAUAUAUAUAGAUGCUUUAGGAGGUUUCAUGGCAGCAAGUUUCGUCUGCCAACACUUUUUUCUCAUCCAACAAUUUCGUAGCAGCUUCAUUGACUUCUUAGUUGAAACCGCGUGUGUUUUUCUUUUCAAGUGAAGAAGAAUUGGGCAUGAUAUAUAUAUAUAUAUAUAUAUAUAUAGAUGCUUUAGGACGUUUCAUGGCAGCUAGUUUCGUCUGAAAACACUUUUUUUCUCAUCCAACAAUUUCGUAGCAGCAGCUUCAUUGACUUCUUAGCUGAAACCGCGUGCGUUUUUCUUUCAAGUGAAGAAGAAUUGAGCAUGAGUGUUUACGAUAACCACUUGUGUGAGUCGGGUCCAGCUGUAGGCCGGUUUAUGGUAUUAUAGAAAUGUCUAAAUUUUUUAUAUAUUUUCAAAUACGUCCUUUAUUAUUAUCAUUGUUGAUGUUGUUAUUUUUAUUAUUAUUGUCAUUAUUAUUCUUAUUUUCACUACUAUUAUUAUUUUUAUUACUAUCAUUGUUAUUACUAUAAUAAUAAUAAUAAUAAUAAUAAUAAUAAUAAUAAGUAGACAUACCAAUGGAAAUACUAUUUAUUUCAAUUCUAAUUCUUAAAACUUAAAUAAAUAAUUUAUUUUAAUUCUUAUUUCUCAUAUCAAUACCAACACAUCUUGAUGACAAUGAUAGAGAGUGACAGACAAAAAAAAAAAUAAAUGAAUUUGAUGUCAGAGUCUCUUUUGAGUUUGUACUAAGAUUUGAGCAACAUUUAGCCAUUUACUACCUCCAACUCUAAAUUCAUAAGUUUUGAAAACUAAGAGCAAGAGAUGAGUACUGAUUCUAUCUAACUAGCCGCAUUAUUGAGAUAUUAUGAUCGAUUUAAAAUUUAUAUUGUGAAAGAACAAAUUAGUUUUUAAGAUUCAACCAAUCAUAAUAACCUGUUUGGCCAAGUUUAGUGGGUCCAAUAUGGGACCCACCAAUUCAAUGUUUGGAAAAAAAAAAAGAAAAGAAAAAAAGGAAAAAGAAAAUCAGUUGCUUUAAAAUUUGCUAGGUCUUACCUUACUGGUGGAUUCAUCUGACCUGCUCGAGAGGCUCUCGUUGGGAAGACGCGUCACCUCAACAAAGUUGUGCGCCCAACAAUGUAAGUUGUUCGAAUACUAAUACUAAGCCCUAACUGUACUUUCGUACACUAUAGUAGACAAAAUGUUAUACUGUUCACUGUAUAGUUACAUUGCUUCGAUCACUCGUGUGUAGGGAUGGGCGUUUAAGAACAAAUUUUUGGCAGUGGCUGCAUUUGUGUGUGUACUUGUAUUUUUGGGAAACUUUCAAUUAGAAUUAGACUAUUAAGGGACGGUAUUUUUUCAAUUUUUUAAUUUUAUCCCAAUAGGAUUACUUAUUCAGUUAGAUCCUAAUUCGAACCAAAAUAUAAUCCGACUGGUUUUGAAAUUUCAACCCUAUUGAACUAAGCUAAAAUCCAAAAUAUAAUUUAGGUUUAGUUCGAUUCGGGUUAACCCGAACCAAAUGCUCACUGCUACCGUGUGUCACCCUUAGGGCAUGUAUCAUUAUUUCUCUCAUUGUACCAUCGGUAAAAUUUUCUGCAGUAAGCCCAAGUCUAGUCAAGCAUGCAUUAAGCUAGGAUAGGACAGAAACAAACGUGGUGGGUUAAAAAAAAAAAAUGAAACUUGAAAAGGUCCACUUACAAUAGAACGGUUGUAUCAAACCCAAAGAAUAAUGACUUUAUAUCUUUAUAGUUUAUACAGCAAGUCACCCUCAUCAAGGUUAAACGGCUAAAGGCCAUUUAAUUUGUCUUGCAUGUCACUAUUAUACUCCUGUGUGGUACCAUGGUAUGCAUAAUCUUUAUAUUUAGGCACAGUUUUAUAUUAAGGCGCUAUGACUUAAAAGUCAUAGUUAUUGUAAUAAAAAUUAUAACAAUAAAAUAAAAAUUAAUAAUGUACGGUAAAUAUAAAUUUUUUUAUAUAAUACUUUUGAUAAAAAUAUUAAAGAUUUUAUUAAUUUUUAUUAUCAUGAGUUUGAUAAAAUUAAUUAAUCUUUUAAAACCGUAACAAUAAAUAUUUAUAAAAAGUGUUGUAUCUUUUAGGUUAUAUCUUGAAAAAGAUAAACAAAGACAACAUUAAAUUAGUAUAAGUGAACUUCAUAACUAAUAAUUUGUAUUUUAAAAAAGAAAAAUUUAUUGUUCUUUAUAUUAGUAGAUCACGCCAUUUUUCCUUCGCAAAGGUAAAUUGAUCUCAAUAAAGAUCUUUAGCUUAACACUCGAUGGCAAUGUUCUCAAUGGGUGGUUUCCGUGCCAAUGAAGAUAUCUCAAGUUUUUUGGAAGGUAUUCUAAACCUUGGUCAAUAUACACUUCAGAGGUUGUAAGUGGAACACCAAAACUCUCUGGCACGUAGAAUUUAAGCAAUCUUAAAUUUGACAUAUUAACAAAGACCUGAGAACUUAGAUGGACGUUUUUUGUUUUGGAAAAACUAAGGAAUAUGCCUUCAAUUUAAUCAGUGCCCUAAACAAAAGCAAAGAAUGAAGUAGCAUUAAAAAAAAAAAGAAGAAUCAUAAAAUUUAAUAAGACCUCCCUAACUGUAGAAAACAUCUGCAUUCAAUCAUUUUUUGUUUGAAAAAAAAAAUACAAGGACCAUUUGCACCCUUUUAAAUCGUCACACUUUGCUUCGACACCCUGUACUAAAUUCAAAAAAGAAAAUUAUACUCUAAAGUUUAAACACUCUUCAAUAAUAUUUCAAAAAAAUAAAAUUCAAAAACUUGUUCGCCUUCACUUUCUUCUUCUAAUCUGAAAGUUUUAUGGAGAAGUUGAGAAGAUAAAACUUUUAGAUCAUAGCAUCACUGAUUGAUCUAAUUAACGUUCAGUUACUGCAAUCGUGUUCUCAUUUGAUAGAGCGUGCAUAGAAACAAUGCGUUUAAUUACCUGAAAACCUGACCUAAUAAAUGUUUUUAAGUUUGAACACAAUCUUUACCUAUUACUAAGAAAUUUGAAAUGCGCUUAAACUGUUCAACAUAAUUAUCAAAUGAAAUGAUAAUCGAAUGAUGUUUUGGUAAUAAUAAAUAAAGAAAAAGAUGGGUGUGAUUAGGAAAAAUACGAGGGCAUUUAGCCCCCAAAAGAAAAAGAUAAAAAUAGGUAAAGUCUUACCUUAUUUUGCUUUAGCACACGAUAGACAGCCAUAUGAUCCUAAUCCCAUGGCCUGCUACGUUUGUCAGGCUCUUGGACAGACUCAUUGCAGAGAAUAUAUAUCUGGUUCCAUUUCUUGCAAUAAGUCAUGCAUUAGCAACCUGAUAUGGGAUAUUAUUAUGGGUGAUUCAUCAAUGAUGACAUCCAGUCCAUAAGACAUAGAAUCAUCUGGUAUCCUUGUCCCAAAAUCUUUAUCUUCUCCAUCAAGGAAACACGCAAUAUCUAGAAACCUACUCUUCUCCUGUGGCGUUAAUUCAUUAAAAUUAAUCUUUAACAUAUCAUAAAUAUCAGAACUACAAAUCCAACUUAAAUCAUUGAAAAUAUUUUCCCAAUUUAUUUUGUUCUUCAGACGGAGGGAGGAACCCAACACCCUAAGAAUUAAUGGAUUGCCUUCGGCAUACUCUACAACCCCCACGAGUGCCCUUUGAGAUCUUCAGAAGAAUGAUUUUCUUUGAAGGCGUGGUUACAAAAAUUGCUCAAAAGCCUCAUGAAAGUCCGAACCAUUAACCGUAUAUAUUUGCUCCACUCUAAAUGUUUCAACGACUCGCUUAUCUCUAGUGGUUACAGCAAUUCGACUUCUUGAACCAAAUUGAUCGAAUCUUCCAAUAAAAUAAUCUAAUUGUCCUCCAAUUUUGUUCACAAGUUCUUCCUCCGAACUAGCAAGAACAAAGAUGAAAGAGGGGGGGGGGGGGGGGGGGGAAGGGUCUUGCAUCGUACCUAUUCUUUCUUCCAAUUAAUUAAUCUUUAAUACUUGAAAGGGUUAAGGAGAUAUCUGAUUGUCAUGGAAUUCCGUUCUGAUAGAUUGGAUGGUUCUGAUUACACAGCCCUUCAUUUCUGAACCUUUUCUGGCAUUUUCUUGAACUGUUCUUGAUGCUUAACAAAGGCAGCCUUGAAACUACCAGUCUGGUUCCGCACAUCAGAUGGAUCUACGUGAAAGAAAACUGGCACCACCAUUUGGCCAACCAUGUUGUUGCAUUCAAGAAUCUUGACAAGUUCAGUCAGGCACCGUAUCGAAGAAGCGUAGUCCUUCGAGAAAAUGAUCACUGAAAUCUGUGAACCUUCCGCAGCGUUUAAAAGGGCCGGUGAAAUACCUGGACUGUGCUUUUCUCCAUCAAUGAAGGUAAAUUUUGAUUUUCUUUCGACACAAAGCAGCUUAGAAAUGGCUGAGAUGACUUAUAAAGUUAUAUUGAGUAUCCUACCCUCUAAAUUCAUAAGUUCCAAAACUAAGAGCAAGAGAUCAGUAAGGAAUCCAUCUAAUUCAGCUUGAUACCAUAAAUCUGCGAUAAUUCUCUGCUUUAUUGAGAUAUAAAGGUAAAAUUUAUAUUGUAAAAGAGCAAAGUCAUUUCUCACGAGAAUAAUGUAUAUUGGGGGGGGGGGGGGGGCGCAUCUCCACCAAUCACAAUCGAUUAUUUGAACAGGUUUGAUGAAUCCAGGUGCCGUUGUUUUUUUAAACCUAAUGUGAUGGUAGAAAUCCCUAUGAAGAGGGAUGGUUUUAUACCUAAUUUUUUAUUCGGAGAAGAGACGAAAAUGAUUUUUCACUCAAUUUCUUAUUAAGAGAAGAGAUGAGUAUGAGAUGUAAUUCGCAUCUCCUCCUCAUUUCCCCAUUUUUAUUUUUAUCUUUUGGAAUUAUUAGUGAAUAAAUAAUAAAAUUUAAAUUAUAAAAUAUUAAAUAUUGGUGUAAAUAAAAAAUAUCAAAAUAUUUAUACAAAUAAUAUAAAUAUUAAUUAAUAUAAAGACUUAAAUGUAAUUUAAACUUAAUCACAGUCCAAGUCCCACAACCCCAUAAACACACAAUCCACAAAUCAAACUCUAAGCAACUCGCUUACAGUCUCACUUAUCAUUUCCAAAUUAUUCGGGUCGCAGCCAACACCCAACUUGUCUCAUAUCAUCAUAGCCCAGUAGCACGUCGCUCCCUUCUCAUUUAUUUAAAUAUCAAUAUCUUUUUCAUUAUUUCAUUAAUGAUAUAAAAGUAAUUCCUUUUUUUGUCUUAAAUUAUGAAGAUUGACGAAGAUAAUUAUUCUAAUGAUUUGUAUUUUGUAGUGUGACUUGUGUAAUAGAUUAAUGUUAAUGUAAGAUAUUUUGCCAAACUUUAUUUAAAUUUUUUAUUUUAAUGUGACUAAAUCAAGUUGAAAAAAUGAAAACGUAUCAAUUAUUAAGAGAGUGGGGACUCUCAGGGGUCCCUUGUUGUUAUUCGGAGUUUCUAUCCCCUCUCCCUCAAGGAAUUCUAAUGGGAAUUGGACAACGACAUAUGAAAAAUAUCGAGAAUGGGUAUAGAGAUUUCGGUCCUCUUCCCUCCACUCCCAUUGCCAUCCCUAUUAAUAACUUAAUUGACUUAAUUUUAGAUAAUUAUAUUCAUUCGUUGUUUCAACUUUUGAAUUUUUUAAUUUAAUGACUUAAUUUCAAUCAACUAUAUUCAUUUGUUAUUUCAACUUAAUAAAAAGUUGGUUUUCUUUUUUUGCUUAAUCUAAAACGUCUGCAUGACACCUUUAAAAAUAUUCUUUAAAAUAUCCUUAUUUAAUUCAUUAAUUUUUAUCUUUAUCUAAAUAAAAUUUACCAAUUAGCAUUAUUAUUUAUCUUUACAACUUAUGAUAAUAUAGUGAUAGAGUAUUAUUAUUUUUCAUAUAUCAAGUUUCUCUCAUUUUUUAAUUAAAAAAAAUCCCUAAAACCCCAAGUCAACUCAAGUACAUGCAUAGAGUUAGGGCAGGACAGUGAAAAAUUGUAAUGGGUUCAAAAGAAAUUGAAAGUAAAAGGUAAGGAGUUGAACUAUUGGCACCCGUCUAAAAUCAUUAUAAAACCCCUCUCCUAUUACAAUUAUAUUAAAGGACAAAAUAAAUUUAAUUAUACCAUUAUAUUUCUCCCUCUAACUCUUUACACCCAUACAAUUACACCAAAGUCUUAUACAAUUUUUGUUUCCUCACAAUCAACUUUUUCUUUCUAAUCUUAUUUUUAAUUUAAAAAAAUAAACAAUAGCUAUUUAAGUCAACUUUAAUUCUAUUUAAUUCAUACAUGUAUCUGAUUUUUUUGAGUAAAAUAUAUGAUUUAAUAAUUCAAAAAUUUAUAAAAACAAUAUUUUUGUAAUUAGAGCCGUUUGGAGGAAAUUGAAUUAUUUUUCUUUUUGAAUAAAAAAGAAAUUGAAAAAGUGGAAAAUGAUAUUUUGGGAAUCAAAGUAGGUUUAGGUAGAAAAGGGGUUUUAAAAGAAAGUUACAAGGGUGUUAAUAGUCCCACUCAAAGGUAAGAGCCUCGGCCCAAAUCAACCACAUAAAAUGAUCGGAGCCAUUUCAUUUCCCUUGUACGUCAUUAUGAAUAUCCCGUUGUGGCAAGAACAAAUGCAUAAUUUCCAAAUACGAAACAAAUUGUAAUAAUAAAAUAAAAAUAGACAGUGAGUGAUAAACAUGUCAUUUAAAUAAUAACCUUCACAAAAGUAAUAAAGAUUUUAUAGAUUUUUUAUCAUAGAGAUUUAACUUUCAAAUCGCAUCACUAAGUGAUUUUUAAGAGUUUUGUAAUUUUUAAAUUAUAGCUACCCAACCACAAUACUAUUUGGUGUUUAUAAGAGUGUUGUAUCUUUUAAAUUACAUCUAUCAACUAUAAUACUAUUUGGUAUUGAGGUGUUAUGAUGAUGCAAAAAUUUAACAAGAAUGCAUCUCCAACUGAUAAUUUCUUCGACAAAAUGAGAAAUAAAUGCAGAAAAAAGAAUCUAAAAUAAAACACAUCUUAAGAUUGAAUGAAACAAUCUACUUUCAAUUUGCUGUCAGUGGGCAUCACAUUGAUGAAAUGUAAUGGGUGGUAAGUGAUAAUUCUAGGAAAUGAGAGUUAUUAUAUCUGUUCUAGACUUAAAUAAAAGUCAUCUAGAGAGCAAAUAAUGUGUUUUGAUUACAUUUUAGUGACCUUUUGCAUAAACAUUCAUUUUAGUGAGUUUUAACAAGUUUUGCUUGAAUCAUAGUAAUUUGUGCUAAAAACAGGUUUUAAAUUGUAGGUUUUAAAUUCAUGAAAGGAUGCAGAGACAGUAGAUGGAAAAGGGGAGGAAAGAAGAUGGUCACAAAAGAAAGAAAGCACAAUCGGAAAUAAUACAAGUGUUGUUGCGGAUUUUAGAGCAACCAGUGCUAUAGCAAUCUGGGAGUAACGUGGGAGAGAAUAUAGGCGCGGUCAGCAAUUAAAUCACAAUCUGCAUGUUUCCUAAUUUAAACACAUGCACGCUCAUAGGUUUCGAUUUUUAACCUAAUUUGCAAUAUAUAAAGGAGGCAUGCACCACAUAGCAGGUGGCGGAGAAUUGUUAUCAUCCAAAAACAAUUAAAAAGGCAAGAAGAAGAAGAAGAGUAAGGAGUGUUGUUCGGCAUCGUUGAAGAACCGAGAAGGAUCCUUAGACUUCCAUCGUGCUAAAUUCAUAUUAUCUUUCUUCCCUUAAUUGAUUGGAUGUAUUAUGUGAUCAGUAUAUUUAUGUUUACUUUUCUCAUUCAGAAUAUGAACUAAAUUUAAGUGUAGUUGAGUGACAAAUAAUCCAAUGGGUUCUUGACUGUUCUUAUAUGUUGUUGUGAUAAUGUUGUAGCAUUAUACUCUAAUAGUUUUUAUGAUCAUAAUUGUUAUUUCAGUUGACCACUCAUUUAAUGAUUUUAGUUAAGAUAGAGCAGCAAAAGGGCAUAUCUUAGCGGACAUUAUUGGAGUAUUAUUUGUUCUUAAGUUGAGUUUCCUGGAUUAGGUCAUCUUAAAUCCUAUAAGGGCAAUACUUGAAUUAAGAUUUGUGAUAUCCUAGAUAUAGGUGUUCACCUUGUAGGGUAGAGAGAUUAAAGGUCAUAAAGCCAUCCAUUAAAUUUAUGAGCAACUGGUCAUUGUUAGUAGAUUUAAAAGUAUGAGAUUUCCAACAUGUGAUAGCUGCGGAAGUAGAUUUAAAAGUAUGAGAUUUCCAACAUGUGACAACUGGUGCUAAUUUGGUAAUCAAUAGUCACCCCAUUAGGAGAGUUUGAUCAUUCAACUACUACAUUCUCAAUUGAAUCUUAAACACAAUUAAUUUAGUUUAUUUCAUACAAGUAUUAGUUUAUUUUUAUCUCUCAUAAUUAUUGGUUACGGAAGAACAAUUUGACAAGUGUUUGUUUCGAUCUUUAGUUGGUUGCAUUAUUGUGAUUGCUUUGGCACUUUGAGUAACAUCAAUCCCUAUAGAGACGAUCUUGAAUACUCAUUACUUUAUUACUUGUUGUGUACACUUGCACUUUGACAUUGGUAAUAAUUGAUUAUAUAAAUCAACCAACAAGUUUUUGGCGCCGUUGCCAGGGAUUGAUUGUUUAUUUUUAAAGUGUGAAGUAAAUCGUGAUAGCACUAAAACUAAACUGGAUUCAUUUUAUUGUUUGGCAGAUCAGUACGUGCAUGCGCAAGGACGAAUCUGUGAUAUUCCAAUUCAAUCCUGAGAUUGAACGGACUAUCAGGAUAUUGCGAAGAGAACAAAGAAAUUCAAAGACUGUUUCAAACAUGAAUAAUUUGCAAGUUGAGUGAAAUUUGAACCCUAACGGGCCUUUACAACCAGCCAACAUUCAAGAAGAGCAGAAUGAACAUGCUAACAGGAGACAGCUAGGCAACAACAAUAUUAUUUACAUGGCUGAUGACAGAGACAGAUCUGUACGAGAUUAUGCCGUGCUAACUCCUCAAGUUGUCCAUCCUGGUAUCAUCAGACCUGAAGUAGAUGCUGCUAACUUUGAGUUAAAACCAGUGAUGUUUCAAAUGUUGGAAACAGUUGGGCAAUUCAAUGGAUUGCCAAAUGAAGAUCUUCAUCUCCAUCUUAAAUUGUUCUUGGAAGUAAGUGAUGCCUUCAAGAUUACGGAAUGAAAUUACCUCCUUUUAUCAAAUUGAAGAUGAGAGUCUGUACGAGGCUUGGGAAAGGUUCAAGGAAUUACUCAGAAGGUGUCCUCAUCAUGGUAUUCCUUGUUGCAUUCAAUUGGAAACUUUCUACAAUGGGUUAAACCCGAGCACAAGGUUAAUGGUGGAUGAUUUAGCAAAUGGGGCUCUGUUAUCCAAAUCAUACACUGAAGCUUAUGAAAUUUUAGAGAGAAUUGCCAAUAAUAAUUACCAAUGGCCUUCAGCUAGGCAACCAGUAGCCAAAGGAUCAACAGGGGUACACAGCAUUGAUGCAAUUACAGCCCUAUCAGCUCAAGUAACUUCAUUGACUAACAUGGUAAAAGCCAUGGCAGCUGCUCCAGCAACAGUAAAGUAAGUUACUGAACUUUCUUGUGUUUACUGUGGUGAAGAUCAUGAUUUUGAUAAUUGUCCUGGAAAUCCAGCCUCAGUAAAUUAUGUGGGUAACUUCAAUCGACAACCUCAGAAUAACCCAUAUUCAAAUACUUACAACCCAGGCUGGAAACAACACCCAAAUUUCUCAUGGAGCAAUCAGAAUCAAAAUGCUCCAGCAUUGAAUGGACUAAGUAGAAACACAUAGCCACAACCACCUGGUUUUCAUCAACAGAGGCAAGGGCAAAAGCAUAUCAAUCAGGAUCCAAUCACUUCAUUGGAAGUAUUAAUCAAGGAGUACAUUGCAAAGAAUGAAGCAAUUGUGCAGAGUCAAGCUGUGUCCUUGAGGAACCUUGAAAAUCAAAUGGGACAAUUAGCUACAGCAAUGAGCAGCAGAACUCAAGGAAGCUUACCUAGCAACACAGAAGAUCCUAGGAGAGAGAGCAAAGAACACUGCAAAGUGAUUAGUCUGAGAUCUGGAAAGCAUGUUGAUACCCCAGUUAAGGUAACCAAAAAUGGGAUGAAAUGCAAUUCAGCCCAAAAACCAACUCAAAAGGGAAGCUUGUUACAGUAGACUUCACAUCAAGACUCUGAUGCUAGGGAUCCAGCUACAGCAACUGCAAAAGAAAUUCAACCAGAUCUUGCUGAAAAAGAAGUUACAACACCAAUAGCCACAACCUGCACCAACUUAAACAAACAGAGGUGGGUAACUACUGAAUCUAACCAGCAGUUUAGACAUCCACCACCCUUCCCUCAAAGGUUCCAGAAGCAAAAACAAGACAAGCAGUUCAGUAAAUUUCUGGAAGUGCUGAAGCAAUUGCAUAUAAACAUACCUUUUGUGGAAGCUUUGGAGCAAAUGCCAAAUUAUGUGAAAUUUUUUUAAGAUAUCUCGGCACGAAAGAGAAGGCUGGGAGAAUUUAAAACUGUUUCCCUAACACAGGAAAGCAGCCAUAUGCUUCAGAGUAAAAUUCCCACAAAAUUGAAAGAUCCAGGGAGUUUUACAAUACUCUGCUCUAUAGGGAAUAUGUAUGCUGGUAGAGCACUUUGUGAUCUGGGAGCUAGUAUUAACUUGAUGCCAUUAUCUGUGUUUAAGUAGCUUGGAAUGGGGGAGUGCAGACCAACAAUUAUCACUCUGCAAUUGGCUGAAAGAUCUCAUGCAUAUCCUGAAGGAAAGAUAGAGGAUGUACUGGUGAAGGUUGACAAAUUCAUUUUUCCAGUGGAUUUCAUUGUGUUGGACUUUGAAGCUGAUAAAGAGGUGCCCAUUAUACUUGGCAGACCAUUUUUAGCAACUGGAAAAACUCUGAUAGCUGUGCAGAAAGGAGAACUGGCCAUGAGAGUGAAUGAUCAAUAAGUCACAUUUAAUGUACUAGAGGCUAUGCCAAACCCUGAUGAAAUAGAAGAUUGAAAUUUCUUAAGUGUAGUGGAUCUUGUUGUAGUAGAUAGAAUGGACCAAUGUUGCAGUAAUGUACUUAACAAAGUCACCACCUUUAAGGAGGUUGAAGAGGAAGAUGUUGCAGCAAGUCAAACAGAUUAGAUGGACAAACAACAAUCUAAUAGGCACACCAGAGUCGUUGAACACCUGAAUCUUUCAGAUAGGGAAGUAAAACCAACUUUACUAUCUAUUGAAUCACCCCCUAAUCUUGAAUUAAAACUGUUACCUUCACAUUUAAAGUAUGCUUAUCUUGGUCAAAACAACACACUCCCUGUAAUCAUUUCGUCUACUUUGGAUGCAGGUCAAGAACAAAGCCUAGUGGAUUUGCUGGGAAAAUACAGAAGAGCAAUUGGAUGGACCAUGGCAGAUAUAAAGGGUAUCAGCCUAUCAAUAUGUAUGCAUAAGAUCCUUUUAGAAGACUGUUCCAGUAAUUCGGUGGAGCACCAGAGAAGGCUGAAUCCUAUUAUGAAAGAAGUGGUGGAGAAUGAAAUCAUCAAAUGGUUAGAUGCUUGAAUCAUAUACCCAAUAUCAGACAGUUCAUGGGUAAGCCAAGUUCAGUGUGUUCCAAAAAAAGAAGGGAUAACAGUAAUGGCUAAUGAGAAAAAUGAACUUAUUCCUACAAGGAUAAUGACUGGAUGGAGAGUGUGUAUAGAUUACAGGAAGCUCAACAAAGCCACAAGGAAAGACAAUUUCCCACUUCCAUUCAUCUAUCAAAUGCUGGACAGGCUUGCGGGAAAACAAUACUACUGUUUCUUAGAUGGGUAUUCAGGCUACAACCAGAUUGCUAUAGCACCAGAGGAUCAAGAGAAGACUACAUUUACCUGUCCUUAUGGAACAUUUGCCUUCAGAAGAAUGCCUUUUGGGUUAUGCAAUGCUCCAGCAACUUUUCAGAGAUGCAUGAUGUCUAUAUUUUCUGAUAUGGUAGAGCAGACUUUAGAAGUUUUCAUGGAUGAUUUUUCAGUUUUUGGAGAAACAUACAGCAAUUGUUUACAUAACUUGGAAGAAGUUCUUAAAAGAUGUGAGAUGACCAACUUAGUACUUAAUUGGGAGAAGUGCCAUUUCAUGGUGCAAGAAGGAAUAGUAUUGGGUCACAAGAUAUCCAAGGAUGGUAUUGAGGUAGACAAAGCCAAGAUAGAGGUAAUCGAUAAACUGCCACCCCCAGUUUCAGUAAAGGGGAUUAGGAGUUUUCUGGGUCAUGUUGGUUUCUACAGAAGAUUCAUUAAAGAUUUUUCCAAAGUAGCCAAGCCUCUGUGUUCAUUGCUGGAGCAUGACAAACCAUUUCACUUUGACAAAGAAUGCCUUCAAGCAUUCGGAGAAUUAAAGAAAGCCCUCAUUACUGCUCCAGUAGUUAUAUCUCCAGAUUGGAAUUUACCAUUUGAAUUUAUGUGUGAUGCUAGUGAUCAUUCUGUGGGAGCAGUAUUAGGGCAAAGGAAGAAUAAGGUUUUUCAUUCCAUAUACUAUGCAAGCAAAACUUUCACUCUAACACAGAUCAACUACACCACUACAGAGAAAGAGUUGUUGGCAGUAGUUUUUGCUUUUGACAAAUUCAGAGCUUAAUUAGUAGGUACUAAAGUAACUGUGUACACAGACCAUGCAGCCAUCAAAUAUUUAAUUUCAAAGAAGAAUGCCAAACCAAGACUAAUCAAAUGGAUCUUAUUGCUUCAAGAAUUUGAUCUGGAAAUUAAAGAUAAAAGGGGGACUGAGAAUCAAGUGGCAGAUUAUUUGUCACGGUUGGAAGCAGACACUAGUGCAUUGACAAGGAAGAGCAUCACUGAAAGUUUUCCUGAUGAACAACUGAUGGUAGUACAGCAAGCACAGGUGCUGCAGUAGUCAGAAUCUCCUUAGUAUGCAGAUUUUGCUAAUUAUCUAGUCAGUGGGUUGCUACCCCCUGAGCUGAAAUUUCAAGAGAAAAAGAAAUUCCUUCAUGAUGUUAAAAGCUACCAGUGGGAUGACCCACAUCUAUAUAACCUAUGCUCAGAUCAAGUAAUUAGAAUGUGUGUUGCAACAAAAGAAAUACCUCAUAUACUGGAAUCAUGUCAUACUGCAGCAUAUGGAGGACAUUUUAGGGGUCAUAGAAUAGCUGCCAAAAUUAUACAGUUAGGUUAUCUUUGGCCCACUAUUUUUAAAGAUGCUUAUGACUUUGUUAAAGGGUGUGACAGAUGUCAACGAACAUAGAACAUAACUAGUAGACAUGAGAUGCCAUUGACCAACAUAAUGGAAGUGGAAGUCUUUGAUGUUUGGGGAAUAGAUUUCAUGGGACCUUUUCCCCCAUCCUUUGGGAACUUAUAUAUCCUGGUUGCUGUAGAUUAUGUCUCCAAGUGGGUGGAAGCUACAGCAUUACCUACCAAUGAUGCUAAAACCGUGGUAACUUUUCUUCAAAAAAAUGUUUUCUCCAGGUUUGGCACCCCUAGAGCAAUUAUUAGUGAUGAAGGUGCACAUUUUUGCAACAAAAUCUUUGUUGCUGCAAUGAUGAAAUAUGGAGUCAGACACAAGGUAGCAACAACAUAUCACCCACAAUUAAAUGGUCAGGCUAAAGUGUCCAACAGAGAAAUUAAGAAGAUCCUAGAAAAAGUGGUGAACCCAACAAGGAAGGAUUGAUCUUUACAUUUACAUGAUUCUUUAUGGGCCUACAGAACAGCAUACAAAACCCCAAUCGGCAUGUCUCCUUACCGAAUUGUUUAUGGCAAGGCUUGUCAUUUGCCCCUAGAGCUAGAGCAUAAAGCACACUGGGCACUAAAGAAACUAAAUUGGGACAUGCAUGCUGCAGCAGAACAAAUGAAGCUUCAACUGUGUGAGCUUGAUGAAUUAAGGUUAUUUUCAUAUGAAAAUGCCAUAAUUUAUAAAGAAAUAACAAAACACUGGCAUGACAAGCAUAUUCAACACAGGCAGUUCACCCUUGGUCAAUUAGUGUUGCUCCACAAUACAAGACUAAGAUUGUUUCCAGGAAAGCUCAAGUCACGAUGGUCUGGCCCGUUUAAGCUGUUAAAAUCUUACCCUCAUGGAGCUGUUGAUCUUUUGGAUGAACAAACAGGCCACUAAUUCAAGGUUAAUGGGCACAGGGUUAAGCAUUACAUACAUCCAGUAGUAGAAGGUUCAAAGGAGGUGUUACUCCUUCAAGAACCCAACUAUUGAGCAAAGACAGAAGGUCAGGCUGAAGGACCUUAAAUCAAGCGCUUCAUGGGAGGCAGCCCAUUGAGGAACCAGCCACUAUAAACCAAUUUUGAAAUCCUUUGGUUUUAUGAACAGCCAUUCCUCUUUACUAUUUUCGUUAAUCGUGUUUUGUUAUUUUAAUCAUUUUACAUUAUUGCAUUCCUUAUUUUCAAUGUCAUUUAAUCUAUUUAUUUUCAUAAUUUUAAACUUAAUUUUAGUUUGAAAUAAAGGUGGCAAUUGCAUUUCAUAUUGAUAAGUGCAAAUCUCUAGUGACAGAACUCAAGGGACAACAACCACGUGUCAGACGCUUUGGUAUGGAUUCUGUGCACGGCAUUGGAAUAAGCAAAGGGGGGCUGCAGCAACAAUUUUUCCUGUUACAGUAAAUUAAAGGCUGGAGCAUUCACUUACCGUUGGAGAUGAAAUCAUGACAGAUGGACGCUCGGAUAUGGAUAGAAAUUGUGGAAACAAAUCUCCGAAAUCACAGCUUUAAUUUUAAUGACCGAUAAUUUUGGGAUAUGCACAUUUAAUUCAAAUAUUUUAUUCCCUCAAUUAUCUCUAAGUUACCGUAGUUAUCUUCACAUUACAGUCCACUAUAAAUAGGAGUCACUGUGCUUAGUGUCCACGCCACUAUUCCCCAUCUAUUUCGCAAGUCCAACUCUCCUAAUUCUUAACCUCAUCUUCUCUUUUUAUUCUCAGAAACAGUAGCUUCAAUCUUUUCUUGCUGCAGCAAUGCCGAGAUACAAGAAAACAGCCAAUCGCCUCAAAGAUCUAUCACGAUUCCAGAGUUACCACGCUGAGGAAAAAUACGAAGAAUUCAUAGAGCCGUGUUGGAUUCUGGAAGAAAAAAGGUUUAAAUUUCCAGACCAACUCACUGGAAUUGUGAAAACAAUCCAUAAUACUGCAGCAAAGAGAGGAUGGCUAGAGUUUUGCAAACAUCCUCGCAAUCCUGUACUACCGGUAGUAAAAGAAUUUUAUGCCAAUUUGGUAAGCCCUGAUCAGCACAACAUCUGGGUAAGAAAUACUCUUGUUCCAUUGGACUCCCGUGUUAUCAAUGCUUUUUAUAACUUACUUACUGAGAUUACUUGUGAGUAUGCUAAAUUGCGUGAUAAGUUAACCCCAAAAAAGUGGACUACCAUUUUUACAACUCUUACUAUCGAAGGGGCAUCAUGGGUUAACGAGGAAGGACGUGUGGUUAACAGAAUAGAUUUAAAACCUAUUGCUAAGGUGUGGGUGAAAAUUUUAAAAUCUAGGCUUAUGCCCGCCCACCACUCACACUACAACAGUUUCACAAGAAAGAUUGGUUUUGCUAUAUGUCCUUGUUAGAAGGCUGCCCAUAGAUGUAGGUAGCAUCAUUGAAAAAGAAAUCUGAGAGUGUGCAGCCAAAACUCAUCGAACUGCUGCUUUGUUAUUCCCUUCACUUGUCACUAGCAUUUGUGUAGUUUCAGGUGUUCGUCUUGAAGCCAGCGAUGAGCAUGUCAAAAAUGAUGGUGCCUUUACGGCACGAACAAUUGAAAGAGUUGCUGGCAAGAGUGCUGGAACAACAACUGAACCAGCUGCUGUAACAGGAGCACGACGAGCUCUUGGCUUAGAACAAGCCAUCCAGGCACUCAGUACUAGUAUCCAUCAGUGUGUAGAAGCUCAGCAGAGGGAAAAUGGUAGGUUUUAGAGCUAUCUAUAGCACCUGGAUAGACAACUACACCAAUUUUCUGAAUACAUGAAACGCAAUCAUCGUAACUUCCCUGCUUCCCUGCUCCAGCAAUACAAUUUUGACACUAGCACCACAGGUGCUCCAGCAGAGACCAGUGAAGAAGCCACUGCUUCAGAUGAACCAGUAGAGCAAGCUGCAACUGAACCUCCAGCAGAAGUUGACUCAGAAGAUGCUGAACCAUCUAACCCACAUGAGGAUGAAGGUGACAAAUCUGAGACUGAUAGCUCACCCUCAGAGGCAGAGGAGAAUUCAGAGCAAGAACGUGAAGAACCACCCGUCCCAUCCCAGUCCAAAACUAGGAAGCCGCAUAUUAUUCAAGAAGAGGAGGAGGAAGACCUUGACAUGGAGCCACUUAUUCCAGUCUUUGUAGGCAAAGGAAAGGCCAAGGGUAAAGAAAAAAUGGCAACACCUCCAGCCUCUGAAGAGGAGAUGGAGCAAAUCGAUGCUGAAUUGGCUACUGCAGCAACCAGAGCCAUGCCUACAUCUAAGCAAGCCAAGCAACUACUUGAGGUCAUUGCUGCCAUCACAGCUGAGGGCCAGGCAGCUGAUGCAUUGACCCCUAAACCUCCAUAACAAACUCCUAACCAGCCUAUCCGCACCAGUCCAAGGCUACCUAACAAACGAAAAGGCAGUACAUCUGCGGAUACUGCUAAAGCAACCCCAGCCACAACUCCUCUCACCAGCCCUACAGCAAAAAAGACAAAGCCAUUGCCAACCACCUCCUCAAAAGCUUCACCAAAGGAUAAGCUGCGCAGUGCCUCCAAGAAACGUUAAUAAGAUCGACAUCAUGGGCUGCAGUCACUAAUUGCCUUUUUAUUUCUUAAAAAAAAGAUUUGUUUGUCCAUUUGUGUGUUUUUAUUUUUGUUUGCUUGUGAGGACACAACACCUCUCAAGUUUGGGGGGAUUGUUUCCGAAUGCAUGUGUUUUAGGUAUAUGUUUAUGUUUGUGUUGUGUGAAGCUCUAUUAUCUAUUAUUUGUGUAUGGAUUUGAAAACCUAAUGAAGAUAAAUUGAGUGCUAUUCAGUAUUUAUGAGAAUGCCAAGUAGAGAUAGUUAUAGAUAGAAGUGAAAUUAUGUCCCAACACUUAGCCCGUGAUUGAGUUGUAUGAGACUGCUAGAGCAAAACCAAAAGAAUAGAAAAAGUCUUAAGUUUUGAAGGGAGAAGCAUGUUGAGUGACUGUGAUAUUGAUGAAAUAAAACUUUGUUCCAAUGUCUUAAGUUGCUGAGUAACCAGAUUUGAGUAUGCACCCCAUAUGCAGAAAUGUGUAAAAAGGCAGCGAGAGUUAUGGGCAAUGCUGUAGCAUAUAUAUAUAUAUUAAAAAAAAUAAUAUAUAUAUAUAUAUAUAUAUAUAUAUGUCCUCUGUCUAAGGCAUUGAGUAGCCAGGUCUGUUCAUGAGCCCCAUGUUCAGCCUUGAGUCAAAGAUAUCUUGAGAUAAGACUAUACCACAGAUAUUGUUACAGCAACUCUGAUCUGGGCAUGGUUUGAGUAAUUGGGUGUCAUCAUUACAAGUGAUCGACAUUCACAUGAAAAAUAAAUGUUACAGUGAGGAGGUUGAUUAUCCCCCAGGUUAUCAAUGUUAAAAGCUAUUACAGUUUGAAUAUGUGGAAUUUAUGCUACCCCUUGUAAGAAUGAAGUAUAUGACUGCUGAAAUUUACUAUGGGCAUCUUUGUCUGAUUGGGAAUAUGAUCUGAAGGUGGAAGAAUCUUUGCAAGUUUGAUAAAAGAGCUGAAGGUGUGUGCAUGUUUGUUUGCGGGAAAUAUUAGUAUGUGUCAUUACUUGAGGACAAGCAAUAGUUUAAGUUUGGGGGUGUGAUAACUCUAGAAAAUGAGAGUUAUUACAUCUGUUUUAGACUUGAAUAAAGGUCAUCUAGAGAGCAAAUAAUGUGUUUUGAUUACAUUUUGGUGACCUUUUGCAUAAACAUUCAUUUUAGUGAGUUUCAACAAGUUUUGCUUGAAUCACAGUAAUUUGUGCUAAAAACAGAUUUUAAAUUGUAGAUUUUAAAUUCAUGAAAUAAUGCAGAGACAGUAGAUGGAAAAGGGGAGGAAAGAAUAUGGUCACAAAAAAAAGAAAGCACAAUCGGAAAUAAUACAAGUGCUGCGGAUUUUAGAGCAACCAGUGCUAUAGCAAUCUGGGAGUAAUGCGGGAGAGAAUAUAGGCGCGGUCAGCAAUUAAAUCACGAUCUGCAUGUUCCCUAAUUUAAACACAUGCACGCUCAUAGGUUUCAGUUUUUAACCUAAUUUGCAAUAUAUAAAGGAGGCAUGCACCAUAUAGCAGGCGACGGAGAAUUGUUAUCAUUAAAAAACAUUUAAAAGGCGAGAAGAAGAAGAAGAGUAAGGAGUGUUGUUCGGCAUCGUUGAAGAACCGAGAAGGAUCCUUAGACUUCCAUCGUGCUAAAUUCUUAUUAUCUUUCUUCCUUUGAUUGAUUAGAUGUAUUCUGUGAUCAGUAUAUUUAUGUUUACUUUUCUCAUUCAGAAUAUGAACUAAAUUUAAGUGUAGUUGAGUGACAAAUAAUCCAAUGAGUUCUUAACUGUUCUUAUAUGUUGUUGUGAUAAUGUUGUAGCAUUAUACUCUAAUAGUUUUUAUGAUCAUAAUUGUUAUUUCGGUUGACCACCCAUUUAAUGAUUUUAGUUAAGAUAGAGCAGCAAAAGGGCAUGUCUUAGCGGACAUUAUUGGAGCAUUAUUUGUUCUUAAGUUGAGUUUCCUGGAUUAGGUCAUCUUAAAUCCCAUAAGGGCAAUACUUGAAUUAAGAUUUGUGAUAUCCUAGAAAUAGGUGUUCACUUUGUAGGGUAGAGAGAUUAAAGGUCAUAAAGACAUCCAUUAAAUUUAUGAGCAAUUGGUCAUUGUUAGUAGAUUUAAAAGUAUAAGAUUUCCAACAUGCGAUAGCUGCGGAAGCAGAUUUGUUCUACCCAGUGCUACAGCACUUACCACAACAACUGGUGCUAAUUUGGUAAUCAACAGUCACCCCAUUAGGAGAGUUUGAUCAUUCAACUACUACAUUCUCAAUUGAAUCUUAAACACAAUUAAUUUAGUGUAUUUCGUACAAGUAUUAAUUUAUUUCUAUCUCUCAUAAUUAUUGGUUACGGAAGAACAAUUUGACAAGUGUUUGUUUCGAUCUUUAGUUGGUUGCAUUAUUGUGAUUGCUUUAGCACUUUGAGUAACAUCAAUCCUUAUAGAGACGAUCUUGAAUACUCAUUACUUUAUUACUUGUUGUGUAUACUUGCACUUUGGCAUUGGUAAUAAUUGAUUAUAUAAAUCAACCAACAGUAAGAACGUUCCAAAUCUUUUUCGUAGUCUUGUAUUGUCUCUGUAUUGACUAUUUUGUGAUAAAAUAGAGUUUUACAUCAAAUUUAAGUGUGCUCAUUGUCACGGGAUGAGUGUUUUGCGUAGCUAACUCAUGUGGCACUUAGACAGCUUUGCCGAAUGUUGCUAAGUAAGCCUUGAGCUUCUCGACUAGCUUAGCCAAAGGUUUUCGAAGAGCUAGAGAGAAGAGAGCAAUGGAGCCAAAUGAGAGAAAUUGUAUUGCUAACAAGAGAGAUUACAAGAGAGCUUUACAAUGCUUGAGUUGCUUGCUCAAUGCUUGUUGUUGUGUACAAAUGCCUAAUGCCAUCCCAUAUUUAUAGGGGAGGCUUGCCAAGCUCUAGAGAUUCUAAAGAAAUCUACCAACUAUCUAGAAUUUACAUGUGCUGGAAAUGCAUAGAGAAUUCUAGAGUAUUUACAAGCUUAAUAUGCUAGAGUUGCCUAGAACUUUCCAGAAUUGGGUCAAGCUAUCACUCUUAGCUUUGUCUUGGGCUCUUGGUGGGCAAAUUGGGCUAGCAAAUUGGGCGGUCCGCAACAUCCUCCCACACCUAAGCUUACAGCGUCCUCGUCACGCUCUCGUGCUUGAAAUUCUGGAUGUGUUCAGCGAAUUACCAUAAAUCAUUUUCACGUUCCCAAGUGGCUUCGCUCUCAGGGAGGUUUUUCCACUUCACCAAAUACUCGUUGUAUGGUGGCACGCCUCUCCUCGAAACCACCCGAUCCACAAGGAUGUAGUCCACAUCUUUUUCGAAUGCGAUGACAACGGCGGUUGGUGCGUGUCUUGAUUCUCCGUGACUCGGGUCUUCCACGUCUCCAUGGUAUCGCUUGACAAUGCUCACAUUGAAGAUCGGAUGGAUCUUGAGUCUUGGUGGAAGUUGGAGUUGAUACGAGACGUUGCCCACACGUCGUACAACUCGGAAGGGUCCCUCGUAACGCCUCACUAACCCCUUGUGGACUUUCCGCAACGUCUUGAAUUGUUGGGGUAGGAGCUUGAUCAUGACUUGAUCACUUUCCUUGUACUCAGCAUGCCGUGUCCUUGUAUCCGUCCACUUCUUCAUUUUCCUCGCGGCUUUGUUGAGAUACGCUCGCAUGAUCUCCGCUUCCUCGUGCCACUCGUGGGCGAGCUUGUGUGCCGCGGGGCUUUUGCCUCCGUAAGUUGAGGCUAUGGCGUUGGGGGUCAUGGGCUGGAAUCCCAUGAUGAUCUCGAACGGACUCUUGCCCGUAGCCUCACUUUGCUGCAAGUUGUAAGAAAAGUGGGUGAUGUCGAGUAGUUUCGCCCAAUCCCGCUGAUGAGCGCUCAUAUAAUGCUUCAAGUACAUCUCUAAGGAGGCCAUUGAUGCGCUCGGUCUGUCCAUCCGUUUGUGAGUGGAAGCUUGUCGAGAACUUGAGAUCGGUCCCCAACAUCUUGAAGAGCUCCGUAAAAAAAUACCUAGUGAACCGAGGGUCUCAGUCGCUCACAAUGCUUUUCGGAACUCCCCAAAGCUUCACAAUGUGCUUGACGAAUAGGCAGGCUGCCUCAUCCGCUUUGCAAUCGGCUGGUGCGGCAAUGAAAGUGGCAUACUUGCUGUAACGGUCAACAACGACCAUGAUGCUACCGCACCCUUCGGACUUGGGCAGCGAUGUGAUGAAGUCUAUGGAGACACUUUCCUAUGGUCUUGUUGCGAGUGGUAGUAGCUCCAAUAAUCCCGCUGGAAGUUGAUGAUCUACCUUAUCUUGUUGGCACACAAGACAAGUUCGCACAUAUGCCUCGAUGUCGUCCCUCAUGUGCGACCAAAAAUAUGAAGCUUAGACUAGUGCGGUAGUGCGCUCAAUUCCUGGAUGACCAGCCCACUUAGAGUCGUGACACUCCUUGAUCACUUCCUUCCAUAGAUUUCCCCACUUUGGCACGAACAGCCGAUCUCCCUUGGUAAGGAGGAUGCCUUCCUCUUGCCAAAAUCGCCUUGUCUUUCCCUCGAGCACCUUCUCCAGCAAGUCCUUUGCUAGUGGAUUUUGUUGGAGGCCUUCUUUGAUGCGUGAGACAAGGUCGGACUUUGGUUGGCUCAUGCUAAGUGUUGCCAAUUUGGCCUUGCGGCUUAGAGCGUCCGCAACGACAUUGACUUUACCCGGUUUGUACUCGAGCCGAUAAUCGAAUUCCGCAAGGAAGUCUUGCCACCAUGCUUGCUUUGGACUCAACUUCUUUUGUGUUUGAAAGUAGCUCGUCGCUACGUUGUCCGUCAUGAUCGUGAAGUGAGAGCCUAGCAAGUAAUGUCGCCACACCCGCAAGCAAUGUAUGAUGGCUUUCAUCUCCUUUUCUUGCACCGUGUAGCGGCGUUCCGUAUCAUUUAACUUUCGACUCUCGAACGCUAUGGCUGUGGCCUUCUUGUAUAAGGACUCCACCUAUGGCAAAAUCUGAGGCAUCCGUUUGAACUUCAAAGGGCUUGGUGUGGUCCGGAAGGGCGAGGACUGGUUCCUCCGAAAUUGUCUUCUUCAACUCCUCGAAUGCGCGUUGACACUUUUUCGGACCAAUGCCACGUUCUGUUUUUCUUGAGCAUAUCUGUCAAAGGUGCCGCCUUGGCUGAGUAGCUCUUGAUGAAGCGACGGUAGUAAUUCACCAGCCCAAGGAGUGAGCGAAGCUCGGGCACUUUCGAGUGAGGUUCCCAUUCGAGGAUGGCCUUCACCUUGGCAUUCUCCAUCAUAAGUUUCCCGCCCGCAAUCUUGUAGCUAAGGAACUCCACCUCUUGUUGGGCAAACGAGCACUUCUCCAAUUUGAGGAAGAGCUCGUUGUCUCGAAGUACUUGGAGGACUUGUUGCAAAUGUUGGGCAUGCUCCUCGAGUAUGGUGCUAUACACUACGAUGUCAUCUAAGUACACGACCACAAAGCGGUCGAGGAAUGGUUGGAGUACUUUGUUCAUGAGUGUACAAAAUGUGACAGGUGCAUUGGUGAGACCAAAGGGCACAACAAGGAAUUCGAAAGAACGGUACCUUGUUGUGCACGUUGUCUUUAGUUCGUCUCCCUUGGCGAUGCGCACUUGAUAGUACCCGGAGCGCAAGUCGAGUUUAGUAAAGUACCACGCUUUGCCAAGCUGGUCGAACAAGUCCGCAAUCAAGGGAAUCAUAUACUUGUUCUUGAUGGUGAUCUUGUUGAGCGCUCUAUAGUCGAUGCACAUCCGCAGCGACCCAUCAUUUUUCUUUUGGAAGAGGACCGGUGCGUGAUAACUCUAUGAAAUGAGAGUUAUCAUGGCACUUUUAGACUUAAAUCAAUACUACUUAGAGAGUAAAUUAUGUGUUUCUAUUGCAUUUUUGUUACAUUUUGCAUAAAUAAUCAUUUUAGUCAAUCUUAAUAAGUUUUGUUCGAUUUAAAGUAAUUUGUGCUUAAAUUGUGUGCAUAAUUGUAGGUUUCCAGAAGCUUAUAAUUCAUGGAAGGAAUGCUGGUAGUGUCGUUAAGGUACACCAAAUUUAAAACAUUGCCACUAAUAUAAAUAAUUAGUACAGAGCGAGUAAGGAUCGAUCCCACAGAGACUAUGCUAGUUAUAUUUAUUAUCAACUCUAAAACAAGAUUUAAAAUAAAAUAAUAGUAGUAAUAAUAAUAUAAAUUAAUCUAACUAAAGAAAAUGCCAAUUAUAAAUAAAAGGGGGGGUUUAUGAAUUUUUAACUAAAUAGUAAGAAAUAAAGAAAUUAAAACUACGAACAAGAAUUUAAUAAAAACUCUAAUUAAAGGAGAAAGAAAUAAUAAUGAUGAAAACUUUGGUUAAAUGAUCAUUCGCCACCACCAAACAUGCACAUAAUAUAUCAAUUCUAUCAUCAAUUUAUAUUAAAACUAUCAAUCGUAGACAACAAUAAGCUCUGUUAGUCUCAAUCUUUUCUUAGUGUGUUGUUAGGCAAAACAAGCUCUUCACCUAAUCUCUAACCAUUAAAUAAUUUAAAACAAGCUCUUUAAAUUUAAGAUAAUGGAAGCAUUAAGCAGAGAAAGAUAUUAGGUUGAUCUAGGCAAUAAACACACAAGAUCGGAUUAUUUAACCUAGGUUAUGUUCUCCAAUCGAAAUCACUGAUUCCAACCUGCUACUAAUGAUUAAAAUAUCAAGACAAUUACGGAUCAAGAAUUUUAAUCUAGCAAUAGAAUUUAUUCAAGUCCUAUCUAAUUGGCCACUCAAAUAAAACAAGAAUAAACCAUGAACAUUAAUUAUAGAAGAACAUAAACAAUCUCAAUUAAAUAAAUUGAAUGAUAGAAAUUAAAAAUUAAUCAUGUGACAUGUUCAGGAUUUUGAAUUCACCCUCAACCAAAUAAAAAUCUAGCCUAACAUAAUUGAAUUGGGAAUAAGAGAAUUGACAAAACCAAUCAUGGAGAUUAAUUCAAGCGGCUGUCUUUUUCUUCAAUUCCUUUUCGGUUUCUCCCUCUCUUUUCCUUCUUGCGGCUGCUGGUUCCUCAAAUCCUCUUGCUGCCGAUUCUCCUCCUUUCUUUUCUCGCUCUCUGGCGGCUCUCCUUUUAUAAUACUAGUUGACCGAAUUCUUCUCCAACAAUUCUAAAGAAAUUCUUUUUCAAUUCUAAUUGAAAUCCUUUUCCAAUUUAACGCCACCAAAAGCCAUUAAUUCCAACUUUUGAAAGUCAAUUGUGGGCCCAUUUAAAUUGCUUUCCACUUUUGCAAUGCCAUGCGCGUGCACUCCAAUUGCCAAUUGGAAAAAUUAAAUCUUUUAAUUAUUCAACAUUUCUCAAUUGGAUUAAUUGCUUUGAUUUCUUCCACUCGGUUCUAUCAAUUCUUGAUUGUAUUUUUGUCUUCCAAUUUAAUCUUUAUUCCUUUUCAAUUUGAACUUCUUCAUGCCCUUUUUAUCCACAAUCUCCAAUUAAUUCCCUAUUCAAUAAAAUAUAAUUAAUUAAAAAUAAGAAAUAAAAAUAACUAGCAAAUAUAUAAUAAAGGGUAAAAUAUGUAUAUUAAUUAAUUCCCUAUUCAAUUAAAAAUUAACUAAAAUAACUAGAAUAUUUAAGAUCAAAACAAGAAAAAGAUGGAGAAAUUAAUAACAAAAUAUAUGGAAAAUAUGCACUUAUCAAAUGCUAUGCAAUAGGCUUGCAAAAAUAAGGAAAGAACAUGGCUACAAAAGAGUUGAAACAAAUCUGGAACAGUACAGUUGUUGUAGAUAUUGCUGUAGCAACCAUUGCUGUAGCCGUUGUUGUAGCAAUCCUGGAACAAUUCCGCGCGGGAUACUUGUAGAAUUGCGAUCUGCAGUUUCCUAAUCUGACUUAUGCGUGCCCUAAGCUUCCGUUUACCCUAAUUUUCAGUUAUAAAAGAAGCACACAUCAUAAGGAAUGAGGAGAGCCGUCACCCAAGGAGAAAAACACAAAGAAACAAAAGAAAAACAAGAUUCAAGAGAGAAAUUAAUGGCUGCACAAGAGGAGAAUUUGCAGAAAUCAAUUGAGAGCUUAAUUCUUCUUAUUCUUCUCUUGUUUUUGUGUUUUCUAUUUAUUCAUGGGGAUGUGUUUCAUGGCUUAAACUUUGUUCUUUAUUUUUCUUUUGCAAACCAUGAACUAAAUUUAUUUAUGGUUGAGUGAUAAACAAUCUUGAUGGUUUAUUGACUAAAUAUAUGUGUUGAUGCAUGUUUGCUGUAGCAGUUUGUUUUUAUAGUAUUUAUUUUUAUUCAUUAUUUCGGUUGAUCACACAUUUAAUGAUACAAGUUAGGAAAGAGCCACAAAAGGGCCUAUCUUAGUGGAACAUAUCAGAGCAAUACUUGGUUUUAGAUUGAGUUUCCUGGAUUGAGUUUAACUUAUUCCAAAAGGGCCAUACUUAAUCUAAAAUUAGUGAUAAACUAGACAUAAGGAUUCACCUUGUAGGAUAAAUAGAACCUAAGCGUGUAAUGUUAUAUCUUAUGUUGGCAUAACAACUGAUCACUGUUAGGUUACAUAUAAAUAUAAGAUAUCCAACAUGCGACGGCUGAGGAUACAUAAGGAUUCUGCCCAGUGCUGUAGCAAAUACUGCAGCAACCGAGUCAACCAUUAGAAAAUAGUCAAGACUAUUAAGAGAGUUUAUUCACUCAACUACUCUAUAUUCCCAUUGAUUUUAUCCUUGAGAUUGACGUGAUAAUUUACUUUGUUGCAUUUUAUUUAUUACGUUUUUAUUUUAAUUAAUAUAUUAGUUUCAUUAAUUGUUUUAUUUUAUUUUUACACAAACUCUGCACUGUUAAGAUUGUUGUAGCAAAUCUGAUAACAUCAAUCCCUGUGGAGACGAUCUUAAAUACUCAUCACUUUAUUACUUGUUGUGUACACUUGCACAUUGACACCAAUAGCAUUAGUAUUUAUACCAACAGUGCGCCAAAUGGGGCCUUUGAGGGGCGAAUGUAGCCUGCGUCCAGCAAGUCUUUGAGUUGUCUCCGGAACUCCUCAAGUUCGGGUGGCGUCAUGCGAUAAGGCACCAAGGUUGGUGGCUUCACGCCUUAUUCCAGUUCGAUUGCAUGAUCUACCUCUCGUCGAGGUGGGAGCUUCUUCGGAAGUUCUGGAGGCAUCACGUCCUUGUACUCAUUGAGGACGGCUUGAAUUUGCGGAGGGACUUGGCUUGGCGAGGUUCUGUUAUUUCCUUCCUCGUUUAGUUCCCGAAUGGAGACCAAGAAACUUGGGUCCUUCUUGAAAGCCCUUUUGAAUUGCAUGGCAGAGAGUGUCUUCUCCUCGGACUUCCCUCGUUCCGCGGGAACCAUGCAUGCCUUACUCCCGUCGAGAAUGCUUAGGGAGUUUGUAGCGGGCAGUGGGAAGGCAUGGACUUGGUCGAAGAAUUCCAUGCCGAGGACCAUCUUGAAGUCGUCUAUGGGCACAAUGGAGAAGUCAAGCUUUCCGCUCCACGUACCGAGUGUAAUGUGCACGCCUUGUGCGAUUCCCGCAAUUGGCUUGGCGGGUGAGUUCACAGCCUUCAUCGUGCCUCCUUCCUUAGUGGCCUUGAGGCCUAAGCGCUUGGCCUCGUCUACGAACACAAAGUUUUGCGUCGCUCCCGUGUCUAGCAGCGCACGAACGAACUGACCGUUUACCUUUGCGCUUACAUACAUGAGCCAUUUCUUGACAAGUGUGGGCUGUUGGCGAUUGAGUGCGCUGAGGCGUUGGAGAAAACCCAUGCUAAGUUGGGGUUCUUCCGUGGACAUUGUGGGGUUGUUUUUGAGUUGGACAGCAAGAGCAUUGAGCGACUUUUUCUCUGAAUAGUCGCGUACCCAAUGAGGACCGUUGCAUAUAAAGCAUGGGCUGCGUGGCUUCGGUGCCUCCUUCUUGCCCUCCGAUUUUCCUUGCCCGCUCUUGUUGCUAGGCGGCUUCUUCUGCCCUCAAUCUUUGCGGUUGUUACCUUUGUCCUUGCGACUCUCUUCCCCACCUUUGCCUUAGUUGGUCUUUUUGUCCUUGGAUUGGGUAGAGUAUUCAGUGAGCGACUCCGCAAUGGCGAUGGCGUCAUCAAGUGUUUGAACACCCCGCCUAUCGAGCUCGGUCUUGGCCCAAUCCUUGAGGCCAUCUUGGAAAUAAAAGAGCGAAUCCUUAUCGAACAUGUCGCUUAUCUCCAACAUAAGGGUAGUGAACUCAUUGAUGUAGUCCUGUAUGCUACCCGAUUGCUUGAGGCGACGUAGGCGAUCUCGCGCUUCCUUCUCUGCAUUGCUUGGGGCAAACUAUUUUCGGAGUUCUUGCUUAAAGUCGGCCCAAGUGUCAAUGGUGCAAAUGACCUUGCCCAUCACACCAUGCUUGCGACGCCACCAUAGUUGUGCAGCGCCUCGAAGAUAGGUGGGUGUUGUGCCCACUUUCGAUGCCUCAUCUCGGACACCCAUGGCAUCGAAGAAUUGAUCAAACCCAAAGAGGAAAUUGUCCAUGAUGGUGGCAUUGCGUGUGCCAUCAUAGGUGUCGGGCUUUGGCAUGUCAAUGCGGCGCGCAUCACUUGUGCUUGCAGAAGCUGGACUAGCGGACAGUGUGCACUUGUGCCAUGCCCAAUCCGAGCAGACAUCAUCCACUUCCGCACGAACAGCGCGUAGUUCAUCUUGAACAAAGCUACGAAGUUUGAGCAACUCAUCAUGAAAAGAACAAAACUCACCUCGGAGAGUAUUCGCUUGCUCUUGGAUGAGGGCUUUUGUUGCCACCGUGAACUCGGCGUAUUCCCUCUCAAGACCGUCCACUCGUUCCUCUAAUCCCUCGAGGCUAUCUUGAGCGGCGGACAAUGCGAUUUCGAGAGUAAUCACACGAGGCUCCAACGCAUCCACGGAUGGGGCCUUGGACUUGCUGCGAGUCUUGCCUUGGGCGCGUUCUCCCUCACGGCCGCGGCUUGGUUCCGGUGGAACAUCCACACCAACCACACCCUCUUGUGCUGGAUUCGAAGUGUUGGCCAUUGCUCGUGAGCUAACUUGCGUGGGUGCAAACCUUAGCUCUAAUACCACUUGUCAUGAGAUGAGUGUUUUGCGCAGCUAACCCGUGCGGCACUUAGACAACUUUGCUGAAUGUUGGUAAGUAAGCCUUGAGCUUCUCGACUAGCUAAGUCAAAGGUUUUCGAAGAGUUAGAGAGAAGAGAGCAAUGGAGCCAAAUGAGAGAAAUUGUAUUGCUAACAAGAGAGAUUACAAGAGAGCUUUACAAUGCUUGAGUUGCUUGCUCAAUGCUUGUUGUUGUGUACAAAUGCCUAAUGCCAUCCCAUAUUUAUAGGAGAGGCUUGCCAAGCUCAAGAGAUUCUAGAGAAAUCUACCAACUAUCUAGAAUUUACAUGUGCUGGAAAUGCAUAGAGAAUUCUAGAGUAUUUACAAGCUUAAUGUGCUAGAGUUGCCUAGAACUUUCUGAAAUUGGGCCAAGCUAUCACUCUUGGCUUUGUCUUGGGCUCUUGGUGGACAAAUUGGGCUAGCAAAUUGGGCGGUCCGCAACAUCAUGGUGUUUCUUGUUUGCUUAAUUUUAAAAUAAACUUGAUUUCAAUUCAAGCAUUCAAAAAUGAAAUGUAUGUACAACUUAUAUCAGUCAUUUCACAGGGGAUGCGUAUAGCAAUUUAGUGCAGAUUUUUGAAGAGCAGAAAACUUCUAUCUGAAUUUGUACUCUCAAAAACCAAACCCAUGUUGACGUACACACCAAUUCAAAAGAAAAAGAAACAGAUUAAGUCAUAUAGUUUACAUACGAAAAUGCCUAAAGUUGGAGCAAUUCAUUGUCCGAUGAAACAUAUGCACUGAAGCGAGCGUCUCAUCUCAAUGAAAUAGCCCUCUUUGGAUUAAUUACUUAGCUAAACCCUUGGAGCAUAAUAGACCAAAAGCAAACACCAAAGGCCAGAGAUAAAUUUUUAUCGGAGAAUCAGCAUGUCGGCGAGCAAAACUAUAAUGAAUUGCAGCAAAAAUGCAUUGACAGAGGGCACAUACUAGUCCAAUAAUAUCCUUGAAGUUACCAAAAGGCCUGUUACGCCGCCGAUAAUAGAACCAAGGCCAAGGUAAUAUACCCUUCCAUCUCCACACAGCUUUUUGCUUUUGGCAUUUGUAAACGAGUUCUACAAUGCAUACAACCAGGGCUGCAAAUGACAAUAACAUACUCAAAAGCACAUACUGAGAUUUCCGCGCAGAAGAGAGUUGGUCAAAAAGAGCCGAUGGAAUCUCCAGGACAAAGUUGGUGAUUACAAAGAUCCACUCUAAAUCAACGUCCUAUGUAGAAAAUAGUAAAAUAAACUCAUGGUGUUCCGGUAAGCAACUGAAAAUUACCUUAAUUAGAAGAAUAAGUAUAGCUUCAAAAACAAGAUAAUUCUAUGACCAAUUGGCCUUCAAGAAUAAAAUUCAGAAAAGCGAUAUUUAUAAGUUCUAAAUGCUGUUUAGUGGUUUAAAAUUUAAUGCGCUCACUAAAAUUCUUUUUUAGUUCACAAAAUUCAGUGAUUUCAUUAGAUAAGAAAACAACAAUUAUAUUCCAAGCACUUUCACAUUGAUAUUAUACAAAUUAUUUUGUGAACUUAAAGAGCAUUUGUGUAAUAUAAUUAUGUAUAAAUUUGAUCAUCUGUGCGCGUAAACAAUAAAAGUGAAAUCUAUUUUCUCGGUAUACAUAAUUCAGUAAUGAAUAAUGAUAUAUUUACUACAGUUAGUCCACCAUCAUUAUAGGAUAAAAAAAAAUUAUUAUAAGACAAGUUAUUUUUUUUCUUUUUUGGCUGGGUCAUGUUACACUAAUUAGUAUAUACAGUUACACGCAUCAUUAUUCUAUAUAAUUCAAACAAUUCAGCGGCAGCCUCACGGGUAAAACAAUAUAGUACGCGUAACUAUCCAUGUGAAAGCCCGAGAAAAUAAAGGAAGAGAGUUCACCUGCAGCCGAUGUAUGGAGGACGUGGUGAUUAUGGGGAGUGUGGGGUGUGGGGAGGACGUGGAGGACGUGGCUGAGUCUGGAGGACAUGGCUGAGCCCAUGAAGGCGAUCGGGCCGACGAUGGUGAGUAGAUAUGCCAUGGGGGUGGUGAUGUUGAGCCCAACUCUGCUUCUGUGGUAAGCAGAUGUGUCUGAUGUGAUCGAUCUCUCUGCACAGGUUAAUUCAUAAUUCUUCUUUUUUUAAUUAGUAGUUCUUGUUAAUUGUCUCAUAUAUUAAUUAUUCACAUUGAAUUACUUAAUUAGAAAAUAUAGAUUAUUUGUCUAAUUUGUUUAAACUAAGG